AUAAAGUUUUAUUUUAGCUUAAAAUUUUAUUUUUAAUUUAUUUUAUAUGUAAAUUUUUGUGUGAUUUGUUAUUUAUCUAAAAGAUAAGUAAAAAAAAAUUAUUCGCAGUAAUUAGAAUUAUUAUUUAAAGGAAUUUAGAUAUAGUAAUAUUAAUUAGUAUUGAUAAAAUUUGUGCCAGCAAUCGCGGUUAUACAAAGGAUGCAAAUAAAUUUUGUUAGUAUUAUAGUUAAAUUGUUAAUUUUUUUUUAUAAGAAAUAAUUAAAUUUAUUAGGUGAAAUUUUAAAUUUAAAUUAUCUUAUAAAAAUUUUAUUAUUGAGGCUUAUAAAUUUUAUUUUUAAACUAGGAUUAGAUACCCUAUUAUUUAAAAUGUAAUAAAUUUACUAGAGUAGUAAUAGUUAUAGGCUUGAAACUUAAAAAAUUUGGCGGUAUUUUAGUCUAUUCAGAGGAACCUGUUAUGUAAUCGAUAUUCCACGAUGGACCUUACUUAAUUUUGUUUUUCAGUUUAUAUACCGCUGUUAUAGAAUAUUUUAUAAGAAAAAUAAUUUUCAGUAGAUUUUAUAAAAUAAUAUAUCAAGUCAAGGUGUAGCUUAUAGUUAAGAAUUUUAUGGGUUACAAUAAUUAAAUUUAUACGAAUUUAAAAUUGAAAUAUUUUGAUGAAGGUGGAUUUGAUAGUAAAUUUUUAUAGAUAAAAAAAUUGAUUUUAGCUCUAAAAUAUGCACACAUCGCCCGUCACUCUUAUUAUAAAAUAAGAUAAGUCGUAACAUAGUAGAUGUACUGGAAAGUGUAUCUAGAAUGAC
rnacentral:ncRNA from 1 species